UUACGGCCACAUCACAAUGAAACACUGGUUUCUGUACUAUCACUGAAAUUAAGCAAUGCUGGGCCUGAUCAGUACUUAGAUGAGAACCACUUGGGAAUACCAGGUGCUGUAG